ACGGGUGAGUAACACGUGAGUAACCUGCCCUUGACUCUGGGAUAAGCCUGGGAAACUGGGUCUAAUACCGGAUAUGACCUUCCAUCGCAUGGUGGUUGGUGGAAAGCUUUUGUGGUUUUGGAUGGACUCGCGGCCUAUCAGCUUGUUGGUGGGGUAAUGGCCUACCAAGGCGACCACGGGUAGCCGGCCUGAGAGGGUGACCGGCCACUCUGGGACUGAGACACGGCCCAGACUCCUACGGGAGGCAGCAGUGGGGAAUAUUGCACAAUGGGCGCAAGCCUGAUGCAGCGACGCCGCGUGAGGGAUGACGGCCUUCGGGUUGUAAACCUCUUUCAGUAGGGAAGAAGCGAAAGUGACGGUACCUGCAGAAGAAGCGCCGGCUAACUACGUGCCAGCAGCCGCGGUAAUACGUAGGGCGCAAGCGUUAUCCGGAAUUAUUGGGCGUAAAGAGCUCGUAGGCGGUUUGUCGCGUCUGCCGUGAAAGUCCGGGGCUCAACUCCGGAUCUGCGGUGGGUACGGGCAGACUAGAGUGAUGUAGGGGAGACUGGAAUUCCUGGUGUAGCGGUGAAAUGCGCAGA
rnacentral:rRNA from 1 species